CCUGGAAAUUACCGAGACUUAGUGUGCUUUGAAAAAAUCCUCUGGAGAGUGGGUCCAGGACUUACACUUGCAAACUUCCUGUUUCUUGGGUUGAGAAAAGAUGUAUACUACUCCCACGAGGAAAGAACGGCUAUCUUUGAUUAUAUCGUCAAAACGAAGAGGUUCGGAGAGGUUAAAGGCACAGUGUUUGGCUGGAUAUGGCCGAGGCCCAGAUGUGUUAACGACUAAACCCUUGAGAAAUUAACAACUGGAUCAUGGAGACUCUGCUGCUACAAGUAUGUCUUUAUGUCUGUC